AUGAACGCUGGCGGCGUGCCUAAUCCAUGCAAGUCGAGCGAACAGACGAGGAGCUUGCUCCUCUGACGUUAGCGGCGGACGGGUGAGUAACACGUGGAUAACCUACCUAUAAGACUGGGAUAACUUCGGGAAACCGGAGCUAAUACCGGAUAAUAUAUUGAACCGCAUGGUUCAAUAGUGAAAGACGGUUUUGCUGUCACUUAUAGAUGGAUCCGCGCCGCAUUAGCUAGUUGGUAAGGUAACGGCUUACCAAGGCGACGAUGCGUAGCCGACCUGAGAGGGUGAUCGGCCACACUGGAACUGAGACACGGUCCAGACUCCUACGGGAGGCAGCAGUAGGGAAUCUUCCGCAAUGGGCGAAAGCCUGACGGAGCAACGCCGCGUGAGUGAUGAAGGUCUUCGGAUCGUAAAACUCUGUUAUUAGGGAAGAACAAAUGUGUAAGUAACUAUGCACGUCUUGACGGUACCUAAGCAGAAAGCCACGGCUAACUACGU
rnacentral:rRNA from 1 species